UUUGAAAAGUUUCUAUUAAUUAGAACAACCACUUUAUUGCUUUUAUUUGUUGAAUUUGGAGAAAAUCUUCAAAACCAUCAUUAUUAAACUUCACUGGGUAUUUUAGAAAAUUACAAUUUUAAUUCCCUCUAAAUCAAAUGAGAUGAUUAUGGAUGAAUUCAUAGGCUCUUAGUCAACCUUCAUAGUGAUGACAAAUAACCUCUAAAUUAUUAAAACUAACUUAGUUGAUCAUCUAAUUUUAAAAUUCUUAUUACUUUAAUUCUAAUAAGAUUAAUUCAAGAAAUUAGGCUAUGAUUUAUUAUCACGGACAUACUCAUGUAAAUUAGUAAUUACAUAUAUAAAUAGGUGGAUGUAAGUAAAAGUAGGUAAAAGUAAGUUAAUUCUAUA
rnacentral:lncRNA from 1 species